GUUGACUAUAAAAGCUAUCUCUUGGACUUCAAGAGUUUAAGCAAUGAAGACAAUGAAUCAAACAUUAGUCAUGUACUCAAGGAUUUCGUAGCUACCCCUAUUCAAAGUUCCAGCUUCAGCCUGAACCCUCAGAAGGCAACUGGUCAUCAUACAAUGGAAUUUUUUGAAAUGUGUGCCGCACUCAUCAUACAAUUGGCACGUUAAAAGAAAUGAAGAAACUGCAUAACUGUGUAUCUAGAACAUUUUUAUUUUGAUAUAUAAAUGAAAUAUUUUAGUGCUAUUCAUUUUCACAAGUCAUGAAAUAUCACUCUACUAUAUCAGUCUAGUUGAAACUUCUAAUAGCAUGCAUUUCAUAGUUUAUUUUCAUAGCCUUGAAAUAUUUUUGAAACCAUUUGAUACUAUUUGAAUGAGCCGCAAUUUGACUGGUUUUUUUUCAAUACAAAUCAGACCAUUUGGUAGAAGAGCAUCUCAAAACUGUGGGUGGGUACUUGUGUCAUGAGGCUCUCCUUUGAUAUUGAAUCGAACUCAAGUUUUAUCGAAGACUUGAGAUGAGUGAAUUUUGAGAUUACUCUCAAAAUGUUUCAUCUCAGGGAAUAUUCCUUCAAAAUUAAAUAUUUUUUUAUACCAUCACACUUGAUUUGCACAUUUUGACUUAAUGAAUAUGGAACCCAAUGUGUCAUUAUAAAUAGAAUUCCUCGUACAUAAAAUUGAAAAACUUGACAGUGACAAAACCCAAGACGAAUAUUUUUCAGAAAGUUACAUAAUAUUGAAGUAAAAGUUAGUAUAAUGUUAUAAAUGUAUUUUACAAAGUUCGAAUUAAGUUCGCUCCCUCUCAGAAACUUCACAAAAGAUAUUACUAUUUUUUUCUAUUCUAUUCUUUCGACAUUGCAGAUAAAUUAAUGAGACAAUUUGCAUACAUAGCAAAAAAGUUGUAUUGUAACAGUCCCGAAAUGUGAUUCCUCCAAAAGGAAAUUUUAAAUAUGCCGAUAAAUCAAAGUUAUUCGUAUGGCAUUCAAUACCUCUCAUCAGUUCAGUUUUCAAUACCAAAAAUAAUGCACAAAGUUGAAUUUUACGAAAAUCACUUUCUUUUAUACCAAUGAACGCUCAAGCCUUUUUCACAAAAUUGUCACUGUAAUAAACAAUAUAAAUUAUUGAAAUGUUUGAAGUUUUAAACAUUAUGGUUCUUAUCCUUAUUAACUUUUUAUGAAUUGAUCAUAAAUAUUUCGUUGUAUUUAAUAUUACCUGAAAUUUAUAUUGAAAAGUUUUCUCGAUGUUACUCAUGUAAAACGAUUCAAUUUGUUUGUCAGCAGAAAAAUGUUAUUAUGUUGGUAGUUCGUUGCUUUACCCAAAUCAUAGAUUGAAUGAUUUAAUUAAAGAGUGUUGAGGAAAACAAUUCGAAAACCAUUAUAAAAACUUCCAUUGUGAAACGAGAAUCUAGGAUGAAUUCAUAGAAUAGACAACUCUAGUCUAACUAGACAGAAAAUUGAAUGUAACGGUUGAGUUCAGGUUUUUUUUUCUCAUUUUACAAUAUUCGGCCAGAAAGUUCAACUGAGAAACUGUGAUGAUUUAAAUGAAGAUAUUAGCUCUGACUAUUUUGGUAGUCAUAACUGAAUAAAGCACAAAUAAAGCUACACAAAUUUCAAAACUCAAUACAUUGAAUCUAUAUUUGUAAAGCAAUUGACUGACCAUAUGUGUAGAGCUGAUAUUCAAAAUAUUUAACUUUAUGAGUUGAUUUUGAUAUCUUAGAGAUCACUUAUUUAUUGAUUUUAUGUAUAUAUUUUUCUGUAAAAUAUUGUACUUAUUGUAUUGAAAACUUUUAAUUGUGUAUUAUAGGAGCCUGUACUGAAACGAAAUAUAAAUUAAGUAAACAUU